rnacentral:lncRNA from 1 species
AUUUAUUUCAGAGAUAAAAAGUUGAAAUGAAUGUUUUAAUUCAAAACGAUAGAGACGUAUCCGUUUAAUGGAUAGCAAAGCUUGAUGAAUGUUCGUAUGCACCAUUUACCACAAUCGAUACUUUAGAACCUAAAACAAUGCUGAUCCAGGGUACGAAUCUACUUCCGUAUGGGUAUUUCAGCCUUUUUCUCAAUUUUACAUUAUGGGACAGCAGGAAAUGACUGUCUAUAGAGAAAUAUGUUGUAAUAAAUCGCUUCUUUAAAAACGGACCUUUCACUACUACGAUUUUUCAAGUAAAACAUUGGCC